CCUACGGGAGGCAGCAGUGAGGAAUAUUGGUCAAUGGCCGGAAGGCUGAACCAGCCAUGCCGCGUGAAGGUCAGUGCCCUAUGGGCGUUAAACUUCUUUUGUGCGGGAGCAAUACUGGUCACGUGUGGCCAGACGAGAGUACCGUACGAAUAAGCAUCGGCUAACUCCGUGCCAGCAGCCGCGGUAAUACGGGGGAUGCAAGCGUUAUCCGGAUUUAUUGGGUUUAAAGGGUGCGUAGGCUGUGAGGUAAGUCAGCGGUGAAAUGCCCCCGCUCAACGGGGUGAAGUGCCAUUGAUACUGCCUUGCUGGAAUGCGGAUGCGGUGGGAGGAAUGUGUGGUGUAGCGGUGAAAUGCAUAGAUAUUCGGAGGAACACCGGUGGCGAAGGCGGCCAACUGGGCUUUAACUGACGCUGAGGCUCGAAAGUGUGGGGAGCAAACAGGAUUAGAUACCCCUGUAGUC
rnacentral:rRNA from 1 species